UUUAAAGGGACAGGAACUGCGUAACGGGAAGGAACCGGGCACCGCGAGCGCACGCCGCGGCCGGGAACCGGGACGAGUCGCGGGCGCCGCAGGCAGUGGAGGGCCGCGCGGUCCCCACCCCGUUAGCCGAGGGGAUGCCAGCACCGCGGUCCGCGCUGGCCACGACUUGACGGCGAGGCUCCUGCUAACCACAGAUGAGGAAUCUUAGAGGCUUAGACAGGUCAAGUCCUUGGCCCAAGGUAAACAAGAACAAACAGUGGACAUCACAGCACAUUUUCACAUUCACCGCUUUUCUCCGUCUCAUGUGUCUACACCCUGGGAAAGGUCUCAGCUUGUAGCCCUCUUCCUCCAGGAAGGCUGAGCAUCUUCUACCACUCCAUUCUUCCUGCCCAGUGUCUCCAUAUCACAGUACCAGGGAUCUCUGCGUGGCCCAGGCUGGUCGCCAUCAGCCUUUGCUGUGGGAGACGGAAGACACGGCCUGAGUCCCCAUGUUUACAUCUGUCUCCGACUCAGUGUCCAUGCAUACCAGAUGUUUAAUAGCUGUUUAAGCCUCUGAGUGGCUGACAGCAGAGCUGCUGAGAGGGAAUGGGGGGCUGGGGACACCCCUUCCUGUUCCAUACCUCUCCCCACCUUGCCUUCUACCUACGCAUGGAGGAAGGCACCCCUCUACCUUUCCUGUGCCAUAGGCCCGGGCUUCAGAACAUAAAGGGUGUUGGGACCCAAGGCCCCCAGGCAAAGACAACACGUUCAGACUUCUUCCUCCUCAGCUCACAGGUUGGGUGGGCUUUCCCAAUGUUUUUGACCCUGGAUCCAUCAGUACCUGAAGUCCUCAGCUGACUUCGGAAAGUACACCCCAAACUGCAACCAACACCACAGCUUCGCAUGCUUUAGUUCCUGGGAGGGUUGUGUCAUGGAGAUGUUGUGCUGCUGGCUUUUUGUCAACGUGACAAGCCAGACAUAUGAAAAGAGAAAAUCUUAGCUGAGAAAAUGCCUGCUUAAGAUUGGCCUGUAGGACGGCUGGGUGGUGGUG